rnacentral:rRNA from 1 species
AACGAACGCUGGCGGCAUGCCUAACACAUGCAAGUCGAACGAGACCUUCGGGUCUAGUGGCGCACGGGUGCGUAACGCGUGGGAACCUGCCCUUAGGUUCGGAAUAACUCCCCGAAAGGGGUGCUAAUACCGGAUAAUGUCUUCGGACCAAAGAUUUAUCGCCUUUGGAUGGGCCCGCGUUGGAUUAGCUAGUUGGUAGGGUAAAAGCCUACCAAGGCGACGAUCCAUAGCUGGUCUGAGAGGAUGAUCAGCCACACUGGGACUGAGACACGGCCCAGACUCCUACGGGAGGGAGCAGUGGGGAAUAUUGGAAAAUGGGCGAAAGGAUGAUCCAGCAAUGCCGCGUGAGUGAUGAAGGCCUUAGGGUUGUAAAGCUCUUUUACCCGGGAUGAUAAUGACAGUACCGGGAGAAUAAGCUCCGGCUAACUCCGUG